rnacentral:rRNA from 1 species
GCCCAGCCGUAAACUUUUAAUUACAACUUAAAUCGCCAGGGAACUACGAGCCAAGCUUAAAACCCAAAGGACUUGACGGUACCCCACAUCCACCUAGAGGAGCCUGUCCUAUAAUCGAUAAUCCACGUUUAACCUCACCAUUUUUAGUUAAUCAGCCUGUAUACCUCCGUCGUCAGCUUACCACGUGAGCGCCAAUUAGUGAGCUUAAUGUUUUUCACCAAUACGUCAGGUCAAGGUGCAGCAAAUGAAAUGGGAAGAGAUGGGCUACACUUUCUAUAUUAGAAAAUACGAAAAACUAUUUAUGAAACCUAGUUAGAAGGCGGAUUUAGCAGUAAAAAGGAAUCAGCAUAUUCAUUUUAACCCGGCACUGGGGUGUGUACACACCGCCCGUCACCCUCUUCAAAGCCAUCAGCCUAGUUUUUAACAACUAAGGGCGUCACAGAAGAGGCAAGUCGUAACAUGGUAAGUAUACCGGAAGGUGUGCUUGGAAACGUAGUGUAG